rnacentral:rRNA from 1 species
GAUGAACGCUGGCGGCGUGCUUAACACAUGCAAGUCGAACGGAAAGGCCCAAGCUUGCUUGGGUGCUCGAGUGGCGAACGGGUGAGUAACACGUGGGUGAUCUGCCCUGCACUUUGGGAUAAGCCUGGGAAACUGGGUCUAAUACCGGAUAGGACCAUCGUUUAGUGUCGGUGGUGGAAAGUUUUUCGGUGUGGGAUGAGCUCGCGGCCUAUCAGCUUGUUGGUGGGGUAAUGGCCUACCAAGGCGUCGACGGGUAGCCGGCCUGAGAGGGUGUACGGCCACAUUGGGACUGAGAUACGGCCCAGACUCCUACGGGAGGCAGCAGUGGGGAAUAUUGCACAAUGGGCGCGAGCCCGAUGCAGCGACGCCGCGUGGGGGAUGACGGCCUUCGGGUUGUAAACUCCUUUCGCCAAGGACGAAGCGUUUUGUGACGGUACUUGGAGAAGAAGCACCGGCUAACUACGUG